rnacentral:rRNA from 1 species
AGUCGAACGAACUCUGGUAUUGAUUGGUGCUUGCAUCAUGAUUUACAUUUGAGUGAGUGGCGAACUGGUGAGUAACACGUGGGAAACCUGCCCAGAAGCGGGGGAUAACACCUGGAAACAGAUGCUAAUACCGCAUAACAACUUGGACCGCAUGGUCCGAGUUUGAAAGAUGGCUUCGGCUAUCACUUUUGGAUGGUCCCGCGGCGUAUUAGCUAGAUGGUGGGGUAACGGCUCACCAUGGCAAUGAUACGUAGCCGACCUGAGAGGGUAAUCGGCCACAUUGGGACUGAGACACGGCCCAAACUCCUACGGGAGGCAGCAGUAGGGAAUCUUCCACAAUGGACGAAAGUCUGAUGGAGCAACGCCGCGUGAGUGAAGAAGGGUUUCGGCUCGUAAAACUCUGUUGUUAAAGAAGAACAUAUCUGAGAGUAACUGUUCAGGUAUUGACGGUAUUUAACCAGAAAGCCACGGCUAACUACGUGCCAGCAGCCGCGGUAAUACGUAGGUGGCAAGCGUUGUCCGGAUUUAUUGGGCGUAAAGCGAGCGCAGGCGGUUUUUUAAGUCUGAUGUGAAAGCCUUCGGCUCAACCGAAGAAGUGCAUCGGAAACUGGGAAACUUGAGUGCAGAAGAGGACAGUGGAACUCCAUGUGUAGCGGUGAAAUGCGUAGAUAUAUGGAAGAACACCAGUGGCGAAGGCGGCUGUCUGGUCUGUUAACUGACGCUGAGGCUCGAAAAGUAUGGGUAGCAAACAGGAUUAGAUACCCUGGGUUAGUC